UAGUCUUUAAGGUGCCACCAGACUCCUUGUUGUUUUUGUGGAUACAGACUAACAUGGCUACCCCCUGAUAAUUAAAAGGCAGAUACUGGUGGCAGGAUUAAUAUUUCCCCAUAGCUAGACUCCUGUGAUUUAUGUUCAUAGCUAUUAAAAGUAAAAGAAAGCAAGGUUUCAAAACUGUGUUUGUAUUCUCGCUAACCAAGCUGUUUUCUGUUUGGUUUGGGAUUUUUUUGCUCCUUUAUCCUUUACCGGACAGACAAACUUGCUAAUUGUUUCCCCCAUAAUUUACAUAAAAUUAGAUGCACAUUUUUGAAAACCUUCUUCCAGUGUUUGGUUCAAUUAAAAUUUUAGCAUCGUGUUAUAUUUUUUCCAGGACUGGGGAAGGUACAUAACUGAUUCCACUAUGCCUAAUCCUUUUCAGCCGUAAAAUUGGAGUGUUGAGGUGAAGUAAAGUAAGCGUUUACCUGUGAAGUAGUUUGUUACCUGCUCAGCUGCAUGCCCCUGUCUGUACUGUACCUGUUCCACAGAGAAGUGAAGACCUUGGAUCCAUGGGAUUGUCACUUAGCUACUUUAAGAGUAAAAAAAAAAAUCACUCAUGUUUAAUAAAUGGAUGGUUCUUAUCUAUAACUCUAGACACAUUUUUCUUUCAUGCUGCCUCCAUUGUCUGUGAGUCAGAGUGAGAGAGGGAGGACAAAACUCAUGAACAGCGUUUGCUCAGAAGUUGGAAGCAGAAGCACUUCAAACGUAUAGGAUGUGGAAGGAAACAAUGAACCUACCAUUCAAACACCCUCUUAUUUACAUAAGGAGUAUUUUUGAAACCUAUCAUAUACAAUUCAACACCACCAAGGGCAAAAAGACCUCUCUAGAGACUUCUUCAUUUUCUCCUUAAUUCAAGAAUCACUUACAUAUGUGCUUAAGUCACUCCCUAGUCAGGAAAGCAUGCACUUAAAAAUCCCUUGGAAAUCAAUGGGACCUAAACACUUACUUAUUUUCUUGAACAAGGAACUUUGGUUUUUGGAUUCCACAGGAGCAAAGUUGUAAAUCACUGAAAAAAUGGGGCAUGUGAAAACUGCAUUUGAGGGCUAAGUAUGAUUCCAACAUAACUAGGUGUUGCGUAAACCUUCUAAGAUGUGCUGAGAACCUUUCAGGAAGUCAAUGGAAAUAUUCUUCUUAGGUACUCUUAGCAGGAUUAGGCCCUACAUUAAAAAAAAAGGAGCAAGUUAAUCUGUCAGAUAUAAUAAAAUGGCAACAGAUCUCUCCGUUAAUGUUCAGGUGCAGAGGCGGGCAUUCCUCAAUCACAUGCAGCAGCACUAUAACCUGGUGCAACAAAGAAGACAUGUGACAGUAAAAAGAAAAAAACGAUCCCUCCUCCUAGCCAGCACAACUGCUCAUAGCUUGAAGCAAGUCAGCAUUUCACACCAUCCAACCACUUUGACAUGACAGCCAUUCAAGCAAAAAGGAGGGACAUUUCUUUUUCCAGGAAGGGACAGAUGCUUCUCACCUGCCACAUGUUGGAGAAGCCACAAUGAAAAAUCUUUUCCUUUUGAGGAAGCUCCUAAACAAAGUAGGGACUCCUGGACAGAAUCCCUACCAUGGAAGGAAGAUGAAAAUUAUCUGCCACUCUUAAAUCUUGCCUAUUAGCUGAUUUAUUAUGCUGUUGAAAACGGGGAACUUGGCUUUUAGUUGUUUACAUUGGUUUGACUUAUUGUGCAGCAUUUAAAAAUUUUUUUGUAUGUGUUCUCUAAAAUUCAGGUUUGUGUUAGUUAAUAUCUAAAACUAAAUCAUUACCAUCUGAGAGUCACACUGGAGGAUUUUGUUAUUUUAAUUUUUGUUAUAUGUAUAACUGGGCCUCUGGAUUACCGCCUAGUUUAUUGGCUUCACUCCAGCCUCCCACCCAAAAUCAUAUCUUAUGAUAUGCUGGGGAAGGAGUGGGUGGCAUAUUGCUGGCUAAAGGAGCUCUUAUGCCACCUGAGAAUUCCCCUUUGUUGGAUAAAUCCUCAUCUGCACCUUUAGGGCAGCUUUCUGGCUGUUUUGCACUACUGAGACUGUAUAGAAAGAAUAAUGUUAUUGGAAACCUUAUCUUAAAAUGUAAAAAAUUACUAUCAAUCAUAAAAAGAAAAUACAAGACAGAAAAAAAGUAUUAAAAAUGCCUUAACAAGCAGAGACUAAAAGGUAUUAGUGCACCACGUGUAGGUAAAAGGGCAGGCAUCAAAUUAUCCACCACACUGAUGGUGUAGGUGGAUAAUUCUGUACUUGAAGCUACCAGUAUCUUAUUUUAAAACUAUAUGAAAUUAUACUGAAAAAGAAGAGAACACAGAAAACUCAGGUCGCACAAUAGCAGAAUUUUUUUCUUACGGUAUGAAAGAUCACACAGAUUGAUUGAUUCUUUUUUAUUUCAUAUUCCUAUUUAUACUUUUUCUUUUCUUGGUGGAAUGAAUGCAGAUCCCCUUGCUACACCAGAGCUACAUAUCAGAAUGACCAUAUACAAAUGCAGAUCUGUUUUGGUGUACUACUAAUAAUUCCAAAAACAUCAGCUCGGAGAUACGUUUGACCUUUGAUAUACAACUACUAAAACAAGAGGGGAAUAGGGG